rnacentral:rRNA from 1 species
UACGAAGGGGGCUAGCGUUGUUCGGAAUUACUGGGCGUAAAGCGCACGUAGGCGGAUUGUUAAGUCAGGGGUGAAAUCCUGGAGCUCAACUCCAGAACUGCCUUUGAUACUGAGGAUCUUGAGUACGGGAGAGGUGAGUGGAACUGCGAGUGUAGAGGUGAAAUUCGUAGAUAUUCGCAAGAACACCAGUGGCGAAGGCGGCUCACUGGCUCGGUACUGACGCUGAGGUGCGAAAGCGUGGGGAGCAAACAGGG